UACGAAGGGGGCUAGCGUUGCUCGGAAUCACUGGGCGUAAAGCGCACGUAGGCGGAUUGCUAAGUCAGGGGUGAAAUCCUGGAGCUCAACUCCAGAACUGCCUUUGAUACUGGCAAUCUCGAGUCCGGGAGAGGUGAGUGGAACUGCGAGUGUAGAGGUGAAAUUCGUAGAUAUUCGCAAGAACACCAGUGGCGAAGGCGGCUCACUGGCCCGGAACUGACGCUGAGGUGCGAAAGCGUGGGGGAGCAAACAGG
rnacentral:rRNA from 1 species